rnacentral:tRNA from 1 species
GGGGUUGUGGCUCAGAGGUAGAGCACUCACCUAGCAUGUAUGAGGCACUGGAUUCGAUCCUCAACACCA